AGAGUUUGAUCCUGGCUCAGAGCGAACGCUGGCGGCAGGCUUAACACAUGCAAGUCGAGCGGGCGUAGCAAUACGUCAGCGGCAGACGGGUGAGUAACGCGUGGGAACGUACCUUUUGGUUCGGAACAACACAGGGAAACUUGUGCUAAUACCGGAUAAGCCCUUACGGGGAAAGAUUUAUCGCCGAAAGAUCGGCCCGCGUCUGAUUAGCUAGUUGGUGAGGUAACGGCUCACCAAGGCGACGAUCAGUAGCUGGUCUGAGAGGAUGAUCAGCCACAUUGGGACUGAGACACGGCCCAAACUCCUACGGGAGGCAGCAGUGGGGAAUAUUGGACAAUGGGCGCAAGCCUGAUCCAGCCAUGCCGCGUGAGUGAUGAAGGCCCUAGGGUUGUAAAGCUCUUUUGUGCGGGAAGAUAAUGACGGUACCGCAAGAAUAAGCCCCGGCUAACUUCGUGCCAGCAGCCGCGGUAAUACGAAGGGGGCUAGCGUUGCUCGGAAUCACUGGGCGUAAAGGGUGCGUAGGCGGGUCUUUAAGUCAGGGGUGAAAUCCUGGAGCUCAACUCCAGAACUGCCUUUGAUACUGAAGAUCUUGAGUUCGGGAGAGGUGAGUGGAACUGCGAGUGUAGAGGUGAAAUUCGUAGAUAUUCGCAAGAACACCAGUGGCGAAGGCGGCUCACUGGCCCGAUACUGACGCUGAGGCACGAAAGCGUGGGGAGCAAACAGGAUUAGAUACCCUGGUAGUCCAA
rnacentral:rRNA from 1 species